GUUUGGUCGUGCUGUAAGAUGUAGCACUAUAUGAAUGAAUAGGCGCUAUCUAAAUAUAUAGCGCAAUUGGAAGAAGCACUCAGAAAUAGAAGAGUUUUAUCUCAUGAUCUGUUAAAAUCGGAACGACGAAAAAUAGAUCCAGAAAAUAAUUUAAUGCAAGAAAAGAAAAGAUAAGGAAAGAACACACCGAUAAUUACGUGGUUCGACCAACGGCCUACGUCCAUGGACGAAGACGGAGCAAAUACUUUAUUAAUGUCGAAAAGGUGGAGUACAAGAAAAUCUCUCAAAAGACCCCAAAGCUUAAUUAGAUCCGAAACGCCGCAAUUAGCAUCCGU
rnacentral:lncRNA from 1 species